rnacentral:rRNA from 1 species
AUGCAAGUCGAACGGAGCUGAGAGGAGCUUGCUUUUCUUAGCUUAGUGGCGAACGGGUGAGUAACGCGUGAGUAACCUGCCCUGGAGUGGGGGGACAACAGUUGGAAACGACUGCUAAUACCGCAUAAGCCCACGGCCCGGCAUCGGGCUGAGGGAAAAGGAUUUAUUCGCUUCAGGAUGGACUCGCGUCCAAUUAGCUAGUUGGUGAGGUAACGGCCCACCAAGGCGACGAUUGGUAGCCGGACUGAGAGGUUGAACGGCCACAUUGGGACUGAGACACGGCCCAGACUCCUACGGGAGGCAGCAGUGGGGGAUAUUGCACAAUGGGGGAAACCCUGAUGCAGCGACGCCGCGUGGAGGAAGAAGGUUUUCGGAUUGUAAACUCCUGUCGUUAGGGACGAUAAUGACGGUACCUAACAAGAAAGCACCGGCUAACUACGUGCCAGCAGCCGCGGUAAAACGUAGGGUGCAAGCGUUGUCCGGAAUUACUGGGUGUAAAGGGAGCGCAGGCGGACCGGCAAGUUGGAAGUGAAAACUAUGGGCUCAACCCAUAAAUUGCUUUCAAAACUGCUGGCCUUGAGUAGUGCAGAGGUAGGUGGAAUUCCCGGUGUAGCGGUGGAAUGCGUAGAUAUCGGGAGGAACACCAGUGGCGAAGGCGACCUACUGGGCACCAACUGACGCUGAGGCUCGAAAGCAUGGGUAGCAAACAGGAUUAGAUACCCUGGUAGUCCACACCGUAAACGAUGAUUACUAGGUGUUGGAGGAUUGACCCCUUCAGUGCCGCAGUUAACACAAUAAGUAAUCCACCUGGGGAGUACGACCGCAAGGUUGAA